rnacentral:rRNA from 1 species
GAGGGGAUGAUUGACCGGGAUGACCUGCCACUGAAAUUUAUUAAAUGGCCGCANUAUAUUAACUGUGCAAAGGUAGCAUAAUCAUUAGUCUUUUAAUUGAAGGCUGGAAUGAAUGGUUGGACGAAAUAUUAACUGUUUCAUAUAAAUUUAUAUUAGAAUUUUAUUUUUUAGUCAAAAAGCUAAAAUUUUAUUAAAAGACGAGAAGACCCUAUAAAUCUUUAUAUUUUAUUUAUUUUAUUUAAAUAGAUGUAUUUAAAUAUAAUAAAUUAAAAUAUUUUAUUGGGGUGAUAUUAAAAUUUAAUAAACUUUUAAUUUAUUAAGUCAUUUAUAUAUGAUUAGUUGAUCCGGUUAUACCGAUUAAAAAUUUAAGUUACUUUAGGGAUAACAGCGUAAUUUUUUUGGAGAGUUCAUAUCGAUAAAAAAGAUUGCGACCUCGAUGUUGGAUUAAGAGAUAAAUUUGGGCGCAGCUGUUCAAAAAUUUAAGUCUGUUCGACUUUUAAAUUCUUACGUGAUCUGAGUUCAGACCGGAGG